rnacentral:misc_RNA from 1 species
GAUGAAGAACGCAGCGAAAUGCGAUAAGUAGUGUGAAUUGCAGAAUUCAGUGAAUCAUCGAAUCUUUGAACGCACAUUGCGCCCUUUGGUAUUCCAAAGGGCACGCCUGUUCGAGCGUCAUUUGUACCCUCAAGCUUUGCUUGGUGUUGGGCGUCUUGUCUCUAGCUUUGCUGGAGACUCGCCUUAAAGUAAUUGGCAGCCGGCCUACUGGUUUCGGAGCGCAGCACAAGUCGCACUCUCUAUCAGCAAAGGUCUAGCAUCCAUUAAGCCUUUUUUUCAACUUUUGACCUCGGAUCAGGUAGGGAUACCCGCUGAACUUAAGCAUAUCAAUAAGCGGAGGA